GACGAACGCUGGCGGCGUGCUUAACACAUGCAAGUCGAACGGAAAGGCCCUGCUUUUGUGGGGUGCUCGAGUGGCGAACGGGUGAGUAACACGUGAGUAACCUGCCCUUGACUUUGGGAUAACUUCAGGAAACUGGGGCUAAUACCGGAUAGGAGCUCCUGCUGCAUGGUGGGGGUUGGAAAGUUUCGGCGGUUGGGGCUGGACUCGCGGCUUAUCAGCUUGUUGGUGGGGCAGUGGCUUACCAAGGCUUUGACGGGUAGCCGGCCUGAGAGGGUGACCGGCCACAUUGGGACUGAGAUACGGCCCAGACUCCUACGGGAGGCAGCAGUGGGGGAUAUUGCACAAUGGGCGGAAGCCUGAUGCAGCAACGCCGCGUGCGGGAUGACGGCCUUCGGGUUGUAACCCGCUUUCGCCUGUGACGAAGCGUGAGUGACGGUAAUGGGUAAAGAAGCACCGGCUAACUACGUG
rnacentral:rRNA from 1 species